CAGCACCUCAAGUGGUCAGGAUGAUUAUUGGGCCUAAAGCAUCCGUAGCCGGCGCUGUAAGUUUUCGGUUAAAUCUGUACGCUCAACGUACAGGCUGCCGGGAAAACUGCAGCGCUAGGGAGUGGGAGAGGUAGACGGUACUCGGUAGGAAGGGGUAAAAUCCUUUGAUCUAUUGAUGACCACCUGUGGCGAAGGCGGUCUACCAGAACACGUCCGACGGUGAGGGAUGAAAGCUGGGGGAGCAAACCGGAUUAGAUACCCGAGUAGUCC
rnacentral:rRNA from 1 species